AAUCACAUCAUUCACGUAAAAUUUUAGCUCUAUCUGGUUUAGAAAACCAUACUUGAUAAUAAACUAAGUCUCGUGCUGUAAUUGAAUGUACACUAGCCACACAAGUGCGACACAAUCGUGGCAAUCAAGACCGCUAAUUUUGUUCUACUUGUACAUUAGAUCAUUCUAGUGAAUUUUUGGCAUGAUCGGGUUUAGAAAGCCACUUCAUUUUGACGCAAAUUCAUUAACAAAAUGGUAUUUUCCUCGUAAUAGGCUAUUUGUGUUGUAGUGUAAUUAAUUUCCCUCAGGCGCCAAAAGUAGAGGAAAAAUUUGAACACAUAAAAUUUUAAGCGCGCUCAACUUUAAUUACCCCCUCACAACUUUCCCAAUUAUUUCCCUGAACUUCCAUUCUGUUCUUGCCCCAGCAAAACAGUCUCCAUAUCCCGUCUCUCUCUUCUCUCUCACACACACACAAGCACUGACUACCGAGAACGACGCCAUCGAAGCUCAUCCCCGCUGCGAAUCGACGAACACCGGGACCGCCGUUUGGCCACCAUUCCGCCACUCCAAGGCCUCCCGUCUCUCAACAUUCACCAAAACACAUAUUGUUGUCCUCUAAAUUGCAGGUCUCGUCGUACGCUGAACGAAAGACUUCAUCGGAAAGAGCUCUUCACUCUUGUCUUCUUUUGUUGGAGCUGUGCGUUGGAAUUUGGAUUUGUGCGUUGGAAUGGCUAUUUUGAUGGGGACAUGUACUGGGUCUCUAGGAACCCUGAGGUGGUAAUUCCAGAUGAAUUGAAGGCGGAAAAGUUUCCCCACUAUAUGGGAAGGACAAACAGCUACCACUCCACUUCUGUUUUAGGACCUAUUUACGACACUAUAGAAAAGUCAUCCCAAUCCGAAGAUCUUCCAGCCAAAGGUUGCAGUCAUCCCAAACUGUAGCGUUUUGGCAGCAAUGGGUAUUAUUUGGCCUGGAUUGAUUGGUAGCACCUUGCUUGACCAGCUCAGGGAUCAGUUACACUAUAUUUCUUUACAAGUCACUGUUGCAUUAUAUGUCUUAUUAUAGGUUCUGGUCUAUGGAAUUUGAUUGAAUCUAGGCAAUACAUGGCUUCUAUCAUUCUGUUUGGCAAUCCAUGAUAGUAAUUGAUUUAGUUAAAGUGAACUUGUCUGAUGUUAGAACUAUGACUAUAGCAGGUAUUUGUGAUUCAGGAAUGCUUGUAGAUUAAGUAUCUAAAGCUGAUGAAAAGCUACAGAGUUGAUACUGUCAAUUCCAUAUGGAUACGAAUAGCUAAAAUGGAUAGUGCUGUAGACAUGGAUAAUUUGCUAGUAUAAAUUUGAUACUGCAGAAUUUCGAUAUGAUGAUAUCUUAUUGAUUGAUGCUAGGUGGGGGAUUAUGUUUAUUUCAAGGGCGUAGCUAUAGAGGUUGGUGGAGAAGAACUUUGAGCUAAUUGGUGUGAGAUUCAUGUUCAAGUCCCAAUUCUAUGGGAUGAGCAUUUGAUGAGGCCUUAUGGAAGCCUUAAGACUGUUGGCAAUGCCAUUGGUACUCCAGUAGCAUGACCUAUUUCUUUGGUAGUGAAAGAUCAUGAUGGAUGCUUUAUUGACUAAAUGAGAUUGCUUGGAAGAUGCCUUGUAGACAGAGUUAUGUCAUAUGGAUACUGAACUUAUGGGUUUUGUUUGUUUUUACUUGUGGUUGUUUUUUGAUACCAUGGUAUCUCUCAUGGUAUUGUUCUAGUUUUUUGUUGGAAACUUUAGUAAGUUUCUUAAAACUGUGUCUAUUUCAUGUUCUGUUUUUUGGUAUUUGGAUCCUUGUAAGUUUGUUGACUGGUAGUUUAAGUUAAUGGCAAUGGCAUAUGUUGCAUGGAUAUGGUUGGGAAAAAAAUUGAAAUUAAUUAAGGUUUUAUUGUAUGGUGGUUGUUUGAUUGUGUAGUACAAAUGGAAAAAAAAAACUCUUUAGAAGGCACUCAAAAGUGCUGUGAAAGCUAUUCUGUUGACAUCAAAGUAGUGGUUUGUGCGGCAGUUUGUAGUGCCUUAAUAGGGUGUUCAAAUAAUUUUCAAAAUAUAUGUGGUGGCACCAAAAAAUGCCUUGAUAAAUAAUCUAUAACGCACUUAGGAAUGCAAUGAGAAAGUGCUUUUGAAGCUCUUUAAAGUGCCUCAAUAUGUAAUUUAUGUGGCACCUAA